rnacentral:rRNA from 1 species
UUCGGGGACAUUGGUGACAGGUGGUGCAUGGUUGUCGUCAGCUCGUGUCGUGAGAUGUUGGGUUAAGUCCCGCAACGAGCGCAACCCUUGUCUUUAGUUGCCAUCAUUAAGUUGGGCACUCUAGAGAGACUGCCAGGGAUAACCUGGAGGAAGGUGGGGAUGACGUCAAAUCAUCAUGCCCCUUAUGCUUAGGGCUACACACG